UUACGAAACAACAAGAGCUGUCCGUAAGACAGCGCGCUCGACUUUUUUAUUGCUUGCCAAUAAAAAAAGUUUUUGCAGUAAAAGGCAAUACAAGAAUCUCUGUAUUUUUAAAGUGAACAAUGGCCAUGAGCAUUAAGAUAUUUAGUGAAGAAUUAUUUUACUGAAUUGUGUGAUACCCUUGAACACUGCAGCAAUGUUUAUAUGACAUAAUUUAUGGUAAAGUGAACAAGUGGAUAGGAAUGAAUUUUUUUAGAUUUUUUUAAGUUUUUUAGUGCUUGCCUAUAAUACAAAACAUUGACAGUUAAGGGCCAUAAUUCAAAUAAAAUCUUUGACAGAAUUACCUUCUCCUGGACAUGUUUGGGAAUCAUGAUUGUAAACAAGUAUUCCAACUUUCAAAUUAAUAUCUCAAACAGUUCAGUCAAAAAGUGGACUGGUACUAAAAACUUAACCAAGAUUCUAAGUCGAUAAAAGGCCUUAAUUUUUAAAACAAAUCCUUGACAAAAGUUACCUUCUCUUGCGUACAGAUGGGGGUAAUGAUGUGAAAUAGCAUUAAAAGUUUCAAAGCAAUAUCUCAAAGGGUUAAGGCAAUAAGUGGAUUUUACCCAUAUUCAAUGUAUUUUCUAAGUCAAAAAGGGGCAUAAUUCUGUCAAAAACCUUGACAGAGUUAUGUCCUCUUGUCUGUUUGAUGAAGGUCGUGAUGGUAAACAAGUAUGGUCAGUUUCAAAGCAAUACCUCCAAUGGUUUUGAAAUAAAGUGAGGUGGUACAAAAAACUUAACCAAGCUCAAUACAC